GGUCGGAUGGUGUUGUUGAUUAUCACGUCAGUCUAACACACUGAAGGUCUCCGGUUCAAGCCCGGGUCUGAUCA
rnacentral:tRNA from 1 species